rnacentral:rRNA from 1 species
UUGAUCCUGGCUCAGAAUCAACGCUGGCGGCGUGCCUCAGACAUGCAAGUCGAACGAUUAAACUUUCCUUCGGGAAAGAUAUAAAGUGGCGCACGGGUGUGUAACACGUAAGUAAUCUACCUUCGAGUGGGGAAUAACAUCGGGAAACCUAUGCUAAUACCGCAUAACGCAGCGGCACCUAAUGGUGACAGUUGUUAAAUGAGCAAUUCGCUUGAAGAGGAGCUUGCGGCAGAUUAGCUAGUUGGUAAGUUAAUGGCUUACCAAGGCUUCGAUCUGUAUCCGGUCUAAGAGGACGGUCGUACACACUGACACUGAAUAACGGGUCAGACUCCUACGGGAGGCAGCAGUCUGGAAUUUUGGGCAAUGGGCGAAAGCCUGACCCAGCAACGCCGCGUGAAGUAUGAAGUAUUUCGGUAUGUAAACUUCGAAAGAAUGGGAAGAAACAAAUGUCGGUACCAUUUAUAAGCUCCGGCUAACUACGUGCCAGCAGCCGCGGUAAUAAGGU